AUUGAACGCUGGCGGCAGGCCUAACACAUGCAAGUCGAACGAGCGGCGGACGGGUGAGUAAUGUAUGGGGAACUGCCCGAUAGAGGGGGAUAACUCCUGGAAACGGUGGCUAAUACCGCAUACCAUCGGAUGAACCCAUAGGGGAUUAGCUAGUAGGUGGGGUAAAGGCUCACCUAGGCGACGAUCCCUAGCUGGUCUGAGAGGAUGAUCAGCCACACUGGGACUGAGACACGGCCCAGACUCCUACGGGAGGCAGCAGGGGGGAAUAUUGCACAAUGGGCGGAAGCCUGAUGCAGCCAUGCCGGGUGUAUGAAGAAGGCCUUAGGGUUGUAAAGUACUGGCAGCGGGGAGGCGUUACCCGCAGAAGAAGCACCGGCUAACUCCGUGCCAGCAGCCGCGGUAAUAC
rnacentral:rRNA from 1 species